rnacentral:rRNA from 1 species
GAUGAACGCUGGCGGCGUGCCUAAUACAUGCAAGUCGAGCGAACAGACGAGGAGCUUGCUCCUCUGACGUUAGCGGCGGACGGGUGAGUAACACGUGGAUAACCUACCUAUAAGACUGGGAUAACUUCGGGAAACCGGAGCUAAUACCGGAUAAUAUAUUGAACCGCAUGGUUCAAUAGUGAAAGACGGUUUUGCUGUCCCUUAUAGAUGGAUCCGCGCCGCAUUAGCUAGUUGGUAAGGUAACGGCUUACCAAGGCGACGAUGCGUAGCCGACCUGAGAGGGUGAUCGGCCACACUGGAACUGGGACACGGUCCAGACUCCUCCGGGAGGCAGCGGUAGGGAAUCUUCCGCAAUGGGCGAAAGCCUGACGGAGCAACGCCGCGGGAGUGAUGAAGGUCUUCGGAUCGUAAAACUCUGUUAUUAGGGAAGAACAAAUGUGUAAGUAACUAUGCACGUCUUGACGGUACCUAAUCAGAAAGCCACGGCUAACUACGUG